UACGUAGGGGCCGAGCGUUGUCCGGAGUUAUUGGGCGUAAAGCGCGCGCAGGCGGCCUCGCGCGCCCGACGUGAAAGCCCCCGGCUUAACCGGGGAGGGUCGUUGGGGACGGCGGGGCUUGAGGGCGGGAGAGGGUGGUGGAAUUCCCGGUGUAGUGGUGAAAUGCGUAGAGAUCGGGAGGAACACCCGUGGCGAAGGCGGCCACUUGGGCCGACCCUGACGCUGAGGCGCGAAGGCGUGGGGAGCGAACGGG
rnacentral:rRNA from 1 species